rnacentral:lncRNA from 1 species
GUUCGUUCGUGACUUUUCGUAGAAAAUUACUUAUUCUUACGAUUUUCGGGAACAUUGAGAUGUGAACGGAGAGACAUGGUUUAAGAUCUCGUAUCAUUUAGAUAUCAUGUCUUGAGAUGUUUGAGACCAAUGCGAUGGGUUUAGGGCAAGAUCUAGGUUUACUUUCGGUUUAAGUUUGUGCGGUGACUAGCCGGCUAUCGUUUUUCCUGUUGCGAUUUCUUCCUGACUCGUACCGAUUUAAAGUCCGCGAUAGGUUCUCGGCAUAUACGACUUGUAUGGUACGAAUC